AGAGUUUGAUCAUGGCUCAGGAUGAACGCUGGCGGCGUGCCUAAUACAUGCAAGUCGAGCGAACAGAUAAGGAGCUUGCUCCUUUGAAGUUAGCGGCGGACGGGUGAGUAACACGUGGGUAACCUACCUAUAAGACUGGGAUAACUUCGGGAAACCGGAGCUAAUACCGGAUAACAUUUAGAACCGCAUGGUUCUAAAGUGAAAGAUGGUUUUGCUAUCACUUAUAGAUGGACCCGCGCCGUAUUAGCUAGUUGGUAAGGUAACGGCUUACCAAGGCGACGAUACGUAGCCGACCUGAGAGGGUGAUCGGCCACACUGGAACUGAGACACGGUCCAGACUCCUACGGGAGGCAGCAGUAGGGAAUCUUCCGCAAUGGGCGAAAGCCUGACGGAGCAACGCCGCGUGAGUGAUGAAGGGUUUCGGCUCGUAAAACUCUGUUAUUAGGGAAGAACAAAUGUGUAAGUAACUGUGCACAUCUUGACGGUACCUAAUCAGAAAGCCACGGCUAACUACGUGCCAGCAGCCGCGGUAAUACGUAGGUGGCAAGCGUUAUCCGGAAUUAUUGGGCGUAAAGCGCGCGUAGGCGGUUUCUUAAGUCUGAUGUGAAAGCCCACGGCUCAACCGUGGAGGGUCAUUGGAAACUGGGAAACUUGAGUGCAGAAGAGGAGAGUGGAAUUCCAUGUGUAGCGGUGAAAUGCGCAGAGAUAUGGAGGAACACCAGUGGCGAAAGGCGACUUUCUGGUCUGUAACUGACGC
rnacentral:rRNA from 1 species